CAAGGAAGCAGCUGAGCCUAUGUUAUAUAUAUGGAUAAAAUCAGAAGACCUAGAUUGUAUCUGUUUCUGUAUGACUGAAAAAAUGCGCUUAUGGAAUCAUAUUAAUUAAAUCUUCCAGAUGGAUGAACCCACAUCUUUCUCGCUCCAAAUCCUUCGUUCUUUUCACGAAGUGGAAUGACGUCUAAGCCACUGACAGAGGGAUAAGAAUACGCAUGGCUUACCGUUCCCAUGCCUUUCCUGUUAGAGUUCAGACUCACUCACCCAGGAAGGAAAAGGUGGGAGAAGACUGAACUACGGCUACUUGUUGAAGAUGGAUUCUGAUGAUAACCAGAUUCCUGUUGUCUCUUAGUGAGAGAGGCAGAGGAGAGGAUUCAUCGCAACUCUCCUGAGGACUUCCAAGGGCGGAGGAAAGACCCUGACCAAGGGCCUAACAUCUACAUCUUCCUCAACCAGACCUGUCAAAUGCCACCUCAUC